rnacentral:ncRNA from 1 species
AGUGCAGGACCUGGCACUUGGUCUUAUUAAGCCUCAUACAGUUAGGCAGGGCGAAGCCAGAGGAAACUCUGGUGGAGGUCUGUAGCGGUCCUGACGUGUAAAUCGGUCGUCCGACCCGUGUCUAGGGGCGAAAGACUAAUCGAACCAUCUAGUAGCUGGUUCCCUCUGAAGUUUCCCUUAGGAUAGCUGGCACUCGGCAAUGGGCAAUUUUACCCGGUAAAGUGAAUGAUUAGAGGUCUUGGGGCGAAACGAUCUCAACCUACCACUAACAAAUCCACAGGUUCUCCACAGUCUGAGAAUCUUUUCCCAAAACAGUCUUCAUUCAGCUUCUCCAAAGACCGCAUCAGCCACGGUUCAAAUCAAACAGUCAGGAAUUGCUUUUGCAGUACAACAAAGCAGUUGUACCUCAUGCUGCCUUGCGGCCGGAGGUACA